ensembl:lncRNA
GUGAGUCAUUAUUUAUCAAACAUAAUUUUUUUUAAACUUGGAUAAGGAUAAUUCGGUGUACCUUUUAUAGAGAUGGCCAACGGUUCGUUAAAAUAGGGUUAGAAGUAACAAAUGGGUUUGGUUAUGUUGGCUAUUUACCAUUUGCAACAAUGCCAAGGUCUUUAAAAGACAGACGGACAGGGGAAUGUGUCUGAAGAAAGAACAUUGGAUUAGAUACAAAAAUAUCUGGCAUAUGUCAUGUCACUCUACCGUGUCAAAGACAGAAAAGAAGACUUUGAGAGCAGGGUUCCAAUAAAAGCCCAAUAGAGGGGUACAUGGGGUACAAGGCUUUUACAGGAAGUCAAAGUCACAGGAUAUCCGAAGCAAGCAGCAGAUCCUCACUAUGGGCUGUCAACAAGUGAGGCAAGAGUCGUGAUAUAAGGGAAUAGUAGUAAGAAAGUCUCAUUGGUGGACAUCAUGGCUGGAUACUUGGAAGUGGGAAUGCAUCAGAUUCUAACUCUUCCUCAGACCGCUAUUAAAACAAAGAAUGCUUGAGUCACCAUGAAGUGACACCGAGGGAGCGUCUCGCAGGGAAAUAACCAGCGUGCUCCACCCCGCUGACGCCACAUUCAUAACAUGUUUCCAUGAUGCGCUCAUAAUCGAUGCCCCCCCCGUCUGCUUCUUUACACAUCAGUCUUGUUCAAAUGCAAACACAAUUGAAAACACGAUCCCUCCUUCCUGCUGUAGGUAGCGCAGGCUUAUAUGUUGUUGUUGUUGGGGUUGGGUACCUUUUCAUCAAACCAAUGUGUAUUUCUGUGCUUUGUAAAGCGUUAGUUCACCAAAAAUCAAUGCACUUUCUAUACAAUUACGUCCUGUUAUGGUUGUAUUUUCUUUUAAGGUAUACCGCUUAUAUAUGUGACACCAUUGAGUUACUGUAUAUUGACUAUUAAAGUGAAAUCUGAG